UUAGGCACACCCAGUGCAUGGGGUUGCAUCGCUGACCAUCCUGGCUAAUAGCCAUGGAUGGACCUAUCCUCUAUGAAUGUAUCUAGUUCUUUUUUCAACCCAGUUAUACUUUGGGCCUUCACAACAUCCCUCAGCAAUGAGUUCCACAGGUUAAUUGUGCAUUGUGUGAAAAAGUACUUCCUCUUGGUUGUAUUAAAGCUGCUGUCUAUUAAUUUCACCUGGUUUUUGUAUUGUGGGAAAGCACAAAUAACACUUCUC